rnacentral:misc_RNA from 1 species
GACUCAAAACUCGUCUGCAUGCAGGUCUUCUUUACUCUUCUUACUUCUGUUUUUGUUUUAUCUUGAUCUUCCCUUAAGCAAAUUAGUCAAUUAUUUCUGCUUUUCCACUUUUAAUAUCCUGUCAGAUUUAUAUAUUCCAGUAACUUGUUGAAACAACUGAGUUCUAAAGCAAUUGCUGAAGAACUUUUUCCGCUGAUGUCCUAGCAAUUAAGAGUGUCUGAGACAUACUUAUAAACCCCGGGCUACACAAAGAUGCCCCAGAAAGUAGACCAUUCCAAAUAAUGAUAAAGUUGAUCUCUGUUUAUGGACUAUGGUAUUAAGUAUUAUCAUCUUAAGUCAUCCCUAGUUAGCCUGGGAUGGAAUAGCCGAAGUAUUAUCUUUAGUGUAUACUCCACAGGUUGUAUAUGUAUACUCCAAAAUCACACAGUGGAAUCCACACUGUGGAUAACAUGACUGGGC